GGGAAUGGUAGUAGAGUUUUGGAGUAGACGCGGGGAAGGGCAGCAACCAACUGGUUUCUACCAGUGAAAAGAAAAGCUCUCUACUCGUUCGUUCUAGUCGCUGCCAAUUAACAAUAGCAAAUGACGCCUCGAUCAGUUCAAAUAGCGAAUCGGAGAAAAGAGAUCGAUAGUCACGUGACUCGAUAACCAAGUUCGAGAAAUGAAGAAAGAAAUAAAAGGAAAGAAAAAGAAAAAAAAAACAGAAACGACCAAAGAAAAAGAAAAAAGAAGUGGAUAAGAGAUGCAUUCGAUCGGAUCGAAUCUCUGAACAAUUUUUUCUCUCGCAUCGAUAAGAACGAGAUUAUUGAUAACGACGACAACAACGACGAGGACGAUUUCUCGUCGGUAUCUAACAAUCUCAAGAAUUCUAACCUUUUAUUUUCAGGAUGAUAGAUACUCUCUAUGAAGUUAGAUUUAGGUUAAGAAAGGGAGGGUGAAAAAGAAAAAAUAAUAAAAAAGAAUAUAAAGAAAAAUAAACUGGAAGAAAAAAAGGAAAACGAAGAAAAAAAAGAACCAAGUAUUGAGUAACGAGUUCAGAUCAUCGAAGCGUUAAUCAAAAAUUGGAUAAAUCGCGUCGGUAUAACGACGUAAUGGAUAUCUUGUAUCGCAGACGAUGUUAAACGUCGGAUAACUUUCUCUCUCUCUUUUUCUUUUUCGUCGUCUCCAUCUAUCUGUACAUCCAUCAAUCCUAUCUUUAUCUCUUUUCCUUUUACUAAGCGAAUUUAAUAUCCCAAAGCAUAAGGAGAUAACCAUAGAUAUAUGUAUACCUGUAUUCGCC